rnacentral:misc_RNA from 1 species
GAAUGCUCUCAAACACUCCAAUCACCUCACCAGUCUGUGGGUUGCUCUUGGUAACAGUAAAUGUGAUCUUUCCUGUUAAAGACGCGGUAUUCUUUACGUUCUCUUUCUGGAGCUCCUCCUCAUCUCCUCUGCCUCCAGCUGGCAAUGCAACAGCAUUGUCGUAACCAGUGGAUCCACCCCUGCCUUUUGGGUCAAGAAACGAUGAACCUCUGUAGGAUGGCACAAGGAAGUCGCCACUGAAGCUCUCAGGCUUUCCAGAUGCCACAAGUUGUUUGAUGGUGAAGAGGAACGGAACACGCUCACCACCAGGAAGCUGGACAGUAACAGCAGCGUAAUCAAUUCCAUCCUUCUCCUCAAAUUUAACAGUGCCAUCAGGAGAUACUUCAAACGGUCCCUCAAUCUCAUCCAAAGUGUAGGUUAAGCGAGUCAUAAGCUUGGUCUUUUGGAAGUCUGGGGCUGAAUUUUUGCUUACGCCCUCUGCCUUGACGGUGAAUGAUGUUGGCUCUAAGCAGAACUUCUUGGCGUUGUAUUUGCCUGGCUUGAAGGAAAAGCUAUCAACACCUCCAUCUAUGGUAGGGCACUGGUUUGCUGUUCCAGUUCCCUUUACUUCCAUGUAUGUCUUGCUCUGGAUCUCAUCAAAGGUUAGACGUUUUGGAACUCCUUCAGCAUUAGCUCCUGAGACAACAAGGGCAGAAGUGGCAAGGGCAAAUCCUGCAAUCUUGGCAGCAUCAGUGCAUUUCUGAGCAAAAUCUUUAAGAUCAGCUUGCAAAGAGCAAGAAAGCUUGGAUGCAGAUGGUUCAAGACCAAAUGCCUUGCUCAAACUUUGAGCUGACCUCAAUGGCAAGUUGUUUCUGGCAGAGACACCACCAACCUUAGUUGGUUGCAUAAGAGUAGCAGCUGCU